rnacentral:rRNA from 1 species
GGCUGUCACUUACAGAUGGGCCCGCGGCGCAUUAGCUAGUUGGUGAGGUAACGGCUCACCAAGGCCACGAUGCGUAGCCGACCUGAGAGGGUGAUCGGCCACACUGGGACUGAGACACGGCCCAGACUCCUACGGGAGGCAGCAGUAGGGAAUCUUCCGCAAUGGACGAAAGUCUGACGGAGCAACGCCGCGUGAGCGAUGAAGGCCUUCGGGUCGUAAAGCUCUGUUGUUAGGGAAGAACAAGUAUCGGAGUAACUGCCGGUACCUUGACGGUACCUAACCAGAAAGCCACGGCUAACUACGUGCCAGCAGCCGCGGUAAUACGUAGGUGGCAAGCGUUGUCCGGAAUUAUUGGGCGUAAAGCGCGCGCAGGCGGUCCUUUAAGUCUGAUGUGAAAGCCCACGGCUCAACCGUGGAGGGUCAUUGGAAACUGGGGGACUUGAGUGCAGAAGAGGAGAGUGGAAUUCCACGUGUAGCGGUGAAAUGCGUAGAGAUGUGGAGGAACACCAGUGGCGAAGGCGACUCUCUGGUCUGUAACUGACGCUGA